rnacentral:lncRNA from 1 species
ACACACACACACACACACACGAGAGAGAGAGAGAGAGAGAGAGAGAGAGACAGAGAGAGACAGAGAGAGACAGAGAGAGACAGAGACAGAGAGAUUCAGAAUAUAUGUUUAUUUAUUUGUUUAUUUAUUUAUUUACUUUAUGUAUCUGAAUGGUUUUGCCUGUGUAUGCAUGUGUAACACAUACAUGCCUGGUGCAUACAGAGGUCAAAUAAAGGCAUCAGAACUUCUGGAACUGGAGUUAUAGAUGGUUUUGAGCUGCCAUGGAGUCUGAACUUGGGCUCUCUGCCAUAGCAUUGAGUGUUUUUUAACAGUUGAGCCAUAUCUUCAGCUGUUAAGUGAAGAAUUUGUAUAUGCCCAAAUAAUAGUACUAAUGAAUUAAGCCUUAAUGGACCUUUCUAUAACGUUAUGCUAUGCCCUAUUCAUUUUACUUUACUUUUGUUUGACUGCUUGGUCUUUUUGAGACAGGAUGUUGCUCUAUAGCCCAUGUUAUACUAGAACUCACAGUAUAGCCCAGAAUGGCCUCCAUUUUCAGCAACCCUUCUAACUCACCCUAUCUUGUACUAGGAUUACAGCCAUGAGCCAGUGUGCCUUGCUAAAAUGUCAGUGUGGGAGAGGGGUCUUUUGGUUGUGUGGGGUUUAAACCUUGAGUCUCAUACAUACCAGGCAGGCCUACCACUGACAAAUCUCCCUGCUUUUUGUGCAUUUUGCAUCAUAAAAACCCCACAGGAAGUCAAGAGGGAACUCUAAUACUUGUUUUCCCUUUAAAAAGGCUUUACUCAGCCCUUUUUAGUUUGAAUUUCCAGGGAAUUUCCCUUUGAGCCAAGCACUUAAUGAAUGUGCUGUUAGCAAAUACUUGUGAUGUCUUAAAGUUUAAAGUGUGACUCUCUCUGAGAAAUACUGAACAGCAGAGGGCAUGGGAAUGGUUUGAUUAUUUUGACCAGAGCAGGCUAAGGAAGAUGUUUCUAGGUUACUCAAUUUUUAGAUUGCGUUUGUAACCACGCAUUAGAGUUUAUAAACGGUAGAAAAAGAUGCAUAGGUGGGCUGUUUGUCUGAAGAUAAUCAUGUCCUCCCGCCAUCGGAGACAGCAUCACUGAUUGAGAAAGUAGCUAUCACUGAUGGUAAUGAACUGCCCUGGCCUCCCAGUAUCUAACCACAUCAGUCGGUAUCAUGAGGAUAACGUCCCAAGGCAACUGGGAUGCUGAGCUCGAGCUGAGUACGAGAUAUUUUAUCGGGGUUGGGAUAGUCACUUGGUUGAGAAAGCACUUACUGUGUGCCCUUGAGGACUUCAGUUCAGUCUCCAGCACUCAUGUAGACAGUUGUGCAUGGUCAGGACUGUGGUCCCAACAUCAGGAAGCAAACAGUAGAUCCUGGUAUUUCACUGGCCAGACAGCCAAGUGUAACCAGAGAGCCAGAGAUCCCAGCAUAGGGACACAGUAUCUGGAAAAACAAGACGGGUGAUGUCUGAGGGAUGACAUCCAAGGUGGACCUCUAAACUUCACAUGUGCACACACUGAAAGAAUAUAUUUAUAUCUUUCCCUACGUGAUAAGUAAAGAAAGUUAUUUGCUUCUUUUAUAACUAUCACUAUAUAGCAUUUGCUCUUAAUGACUUU